rnacentral:lncRNA from 1 species
UUCUUCUUCUUCUUCUUCUUCUUCACCCGCUCUCUCAUCUUUUCUCUUACUUUCUCAUCCACAGUUCUACCGCCACCGACUCCCUCUCUAUGACUCAGCCAUUGGCAACUGGCGCAAUUUAUCUCUCACCUGCUCUAUUCUCUUACCCUACGCCGCCACCACCGCGAUCACGCUGCUCUCCGCCGCCAAUGGACUCCUCUGCUUCUCUUUACCCAACUCAUCUUCUUUCCUGGUCUGCAAUCUCUUGGUAGGAUCCUCCAGAGUCCUCCAAUUCCCUGGAUACCCUUUUGCCUUUGAAAUGCUGACCUUGGUUCCUGCCCCGGAUGGGUACAAGAUCUUCAUGAUCGCUUCUGGGUCCUCU